rnacentral:rRNA from 1 species
GAUGAACGCUGGCGGCGUGCUUAACACAUGCAAGUCGAGCGAGUGAGUUCUUCGGAACGAUCUAGCGGCGGACGGGUGAGUAACACGUGGGCAACCUGCCUCAUAGAGGGGAAUAGCCUCCCGAAAGGGAGAUUAAUACCGCAUAACAUCGUUGAAGGGCAUCCUUCGAUGAUCAAAGGAGCAAUCCGCUAUGAGAUGGGCCCGCGGCGCAUUAGCUAGUUGGUGAGGUAACGGCUCACCAAGGCGACGAUGCGUAGCCGACCUGAGAGGGUGAUAGGCCACAUUGGGACUGAGACACGGCCCAGACUCCUACGGGAGGCAGCAGUGGGGAAUAUUGCACAAUGGGGGAAACCCUGAUGCAGCAACGCCGCGUGAGUGAUGACGGCCUUCGGGUUGUAAAGCUCUGUCUUUGGGGACGAUAAUGACGGUACCCAAGGAGGAAGUCACGGCUAACUACGUGCCAGCAGCAGCCGCAG